rnacentral:rRNA from 1 species
CCUACGGGGGGCAGCAGUAGGGAAUCUUCCACAAUGGGCGAAAGCCUGAUGGAGCAACGCCGCGUGGGUGAAGAAGGUCUUCGGAUCGUAAAACCCUGUUGUUAGAGAAGAAAGCGCGCGAGAGUAACUGUUCACGUUUCGACGGUAUCUAACCAGAAAGCCACGGCUAACUACGUGCCAGCAGCCGCGGUAAUACGUAGGUGGCAAGCGUUAUCCGGAUUUAUUGGGCGUAAAGGGAACGCAGGCGGUCUUGUAAGUCUGAUGUGAAAGGCUUCGGCUUAACCGGGGUAGUGCAAUGGAAACUGGGGGACUUGAGGGCAAAAGAGGAGGGUGGAACUCCAUGGGUAGCGGGGAAAUGCGUAGAUAUAUGGAAGAACACCAGUGGCGAAAGCGGCUCUCUGGUCUGUAACUGACGCUGAGGUUCGAAAGCGUGGGUAGCAAACAGGAUUAGAUACCCCGGGUAGUC